UACGGAGGGUCCGAGCGUUAUUCGGAAUCACUCGGCGUAAAGCGAGCGUAGGCGGCGUGAUAAGCCGGUUGUGAAAGCCCCGGGCUCAACCUGGGAACCGCAUCCGGAACUGUCACGCUAGAGUGAAGGAGAGGAAGGUAGAAUUCCCGGUGUAGCGGUGAAAUGCGUAGAGAUCGGGAGGAAUACCAGUGGCGAAGGCGGCCUUCUGGACUGACACUGACGCUGAGGUGCGAAAGCGUGGGUAGCAAACAGG
rnacentral:misc_RNA from 1 species